UUCCACCGAAACCUAUUCUCCCGAGCCUCUCUGUUCCCUAACCCUUCUCCUCAUCGCCGAUGCCGACAUCGCCGGUCACCAUGCGUCGACACUGCCGACCGCCACGGGAGUCAGCCUCCUUCCUUCAUUCUCCGGUGCACUCGAGGGGGGUUAUGCCCUAAUUUUGCCUCUGCCAUCCGCCUCCCUCUUCCAUCUUCCGAUCUCGGCGCGCCUCUCGACCGUUGGUCAUCGCUGCCCGAUCACCGACACCUAGUGUCCUAGCUAUUCUUCCACCAUCUUUGUGUGCCAUGAUGACUCGAUUGGAGACAUGUCAGCUGCCGCACUGUUCCGAUUUCGUCUCCUCCUCUUUCAGGUGAGUUUAGGACAACGACUUCACCAACCGUGUGACAGCUGUUGACUCGCUGAUAUUCUUUCUUUUCCGAGUUUUCUUUCUCUUCCACUGAUUACUUGAGUUCGUUCGAGAAAUUGAUCACCUCCCGGAGUCGUUGUUCCUGUGAGGUGGGAUCUACGAUCUGAGCCCUAGACUCAAUCUUCUUCCAAUGUACCUCUGCACAUUACGGCUCCGAUCACCAGAUUCUGGUUCCUCUUCCUCGCCGGCAAAGAUCGGCAAUAGAUCCUUAGAGUGGGACAGAUUUUGGACAUAGAAUCAGAUUGAGGUAAGCUUCGGUCAGUCAUGUUUGUCGAUGAACCACAGCUCUAGCGAUCCAGUUUUGGUAGUAAACACCUCCGAUCGUGUUCCACCAGGAGGAAUGUUUUCAUUUGGAGGAUUGUACAGUCACCUAGUUCUGACCAUUGGGAUCCUAUAAUGAACAUCCCCGGCUAUGAGUCGAUAAAGGAGCAAUUCGAAAUGAGGACGUUGAUUCGAGACAAGCAUCUCGAUCUGGGAUUUGUUCCGAUACGAACUACUGAUUAAGGC